GUGCUUGCUUUGGCAGCACAUACACUAAAAUUGGAAUGAUACAGAGAAGAUAAGCAUGGCCCCUUAAAAAAAAAAAAAAGCAAACAAAGGACAAAAAAGAAAUAACU